rnacentral:rRNA from 1 species
UACGGAGGGAGCUAGCGUUGUUCGGAAUUACUGGGCGUAAAGCGCACGUAGGCGGCUUUGUAAGUUAGAGGUGAAAGCCUGGAGCUCAACUCCAGAAUACGUACCUUUAAGACUGCAUCGCUUGAAUCCAGGAGAGGUGAGUGGAAUUCCGAGUGUAGAGGUGAAAUUCGUAGAUAUUCGGAAGAACACCAGCGGCGAAGGCGGCUUUCUGGUCCGAUACUGACGCUGAGGUGCGAAAGCGUGGGGAGCGAGUCCGG